AACUGGACAUAGUAUUCCGGAAGCGGUUGCACCAGUGCCAAAACCAGAGAGAAGGGUGAAGAACGGAUCAAGAGGACACUUAUUUUAUUUGCUUCAGUCACUUUGUGUCUCACGUUAUAAAUCACGCUAGCCAACCCCAGCGCACAAUGAUGCAUGCGCCAGCCGUGCCAGGCACAGACACAGACACAGCAACUGAGUGUAGACGAAUCCAUCGAGUCAUAAAGUUUAAGGCCAGUGGGAACCCAGAGAUCAUCUACUCUCACCUCCUGAACGUCACAGGCCAACAGCACCUGCACACUAAACUCAACAAAUACUG